AGCGCAGGUGGGAAUGUAAGUCUUUCUUAAAAGUGCGGGGCUCAACCCCGUGAUGGGAAAGAAACUAUAUUUCUUGAGUGCAGGAGAGGAAAGCGGAAUUCCUAGUGUAGCGGUGAAAUGCGUAGAUAUUAGGAGGAACACCAGUGGCGAAGGCGGCUUUCUGGACUGUAACUGACACUGAGGCUCGAAAGCCAGGGGAGCGAACG
rnacentral:rRNA from 2 species